AGCAGCCGCGGUAAUUCCAGCUCCAAUAGCGUAUAUUAAAGUUGUUGCAGUUAAAAAGCUCGUAGUUGAAUUUCGGGGUUAGUAGAUUGGUCAUGCCUCUGGUAUGCACUGGUCUUACUGAUUCCUCCUUCCUGAUGAACCGUAAUGCCAUUAAUUUGGUGUUGCGGGGAAACUGGACUGUUACUUUGAAAAAUUAGAGUGUUUAAAGCAGGCUAACGCUUGAAUACAUUAGCAUGGAAUAAUGAAAUAGGACGUUCGAUCUUAUUUUGUUGGUUUCUAGGAUUGACGUAAUAAUUAAUAGGGAUAGUUGGGGGCGAUUAGUAUUCAAUUGUCAGAGGUGAAAUUCUUGGAUUUAUUGAAGACUAACUACUGCAAAGCAUUUGCCAAGGAUGUUUUCAUUAAUCAAGAACGAAAGUUAGGGGAUCGAAGACGAUCAGAUACCGUCGUAGUCUUAACCAUAAACUAUGCCGACUAGGGAUCGGAUGAUGUUAAUUUUUUAAUGUACUCAUUCGGCGCCUUA
rnacentral:rRNA from 1 species